rnacentral:snRNA from 1 species
GUGCUUGCUUUGGUAGCACAUACACUAAAAUUGGAGCAAUACAGAGGUUGUCAUUGGGUCCUGCACAAGGAUGAUAUGCAAAUUUGUGAAGUAUUCCAUAUUUUU